rnacentral:rRNA from 1 species
CCUACGAGAGGCAGCAGUGAGGAAUAUUGGUCAAUGGACGAGAGUCUGAACCAGCCAAGUAGCGUGAGGGAUGAAGGCCCUAUGGGUUGUAAACUUCUUUUAUAAAGGAAUAAAACGAGGCACGUGUGCCUUUUUGCAUGUACUUUAUGAAUAAGGAUCGGCUAACUCCGUGCCAGCAGCCGCGGUAAUACGGAGGAUCCGAGCGUUAUCCGGAUUUAUUGGGUUUAAAGGGAGCGUAGAUGGGUUGUUAAGUCAGUUGUGAAAGUUUGCGGCUCAACCGUAAAAUUGCAAUUGAUACUGGCAGUCUUGAGUACAGUUGAGGUAGGCGGAAUUCGUGGUGUAGCGGUGAAAUGCUUAGAUAUCACGAAGAACCCCGAUUGCGAAGGCAGCUUACCAACCUGUGACUGACAUUGAUGCUCGAAAGUGUGGGUAUCAAACAGGAUUAGAUACCCCGGUAGUC